rnacentral:rRNA from 1 species
AAUGGACGAAAGUCUGAUCCAGCCAUGCCGCGUGCAGGAUGACAGCCUACGGGUUGUAAACUGCUUUUAUACAGGAAGAACACUCCGACGUGUCGGAGCUUGACGGUACUGUAAGAAUAAGGAUCGGCUAACUCCGUGCCAGCAGCCGCGGUAAUACGGAGGAUCCAAGCGUUAUCCGGAAUCAUUGGGUUUAAAGGGUCCGCAGGCUGUUUUUUAAGUCAGAGGUGAAAUCCUGCAGCUCAACUGUAGAACUGCCUUUGAUACUGGAAAACUUGAGUUAUUGUGAAGUGGUUAGAAUGUGUGGUGUAGCGGUGAAAUGCAUAGAUAUCACACAGAAUACCGAUUGCGAAGGCAGAUCACUAACAAUAUACUGACGCUCAUGGACGAAAGCGUGGGGAGCGAACAGGAUU